GCGUUGGUGGUUCAGUGGUAGAAUACUCGCCUGCCACGCGGGUGACCCAGGUUCGAUUCCCGGCCGACGCA
rnacentral:tRNA from 1 species